rnacentral:lncRNA from 1 species
UGGCCUCUCUUCUCAGUUUGGAAAGUGGCACCUACUGAAUCUUGGUGACAAUCAAAAUUCCUACUGCAUCAUCUUGUUGCCUACUCAGUGGGGAAGAUUGGCUCCUCCUAGCAAAAUGCAAAGAGACAAAAUAAGAAGGAAUGGAGGCUGGGCGCGGUGGCUCACGCCUGUAAUCCCAGCACUUUGGGAGGCCGAGGUGGGCGGAUCACGAGGUCAAGAGAUCGAGACCAUCCUGGCCAACGUGGCGAAACCCCGUCUCUACUAAAAAUACAAAAAAAUUAGCUGGGUGUAGUGGCGUGUGCCUGUAGUCCCAGCUACCCGAGAGGCUGAGGCAGGAGAAUUGCUUGAACCCGGGAGGCGGAGGUUGCGGUGAGCCGAGAUCGCGCCAUUGCACUCCAGCCUGGCUCCUGGUGACGGAGUGAGACUGUCUCAAAAAAAAAAAAAAAAAAAAAAAAAAAAAAGAGAAGGAAAAGAUAUUGAGCAGAUAAAACCGAAAGGUGUGACUUAGGGCAGAGAUGUGACUCUGGGCCUGCGUGGGUCUGCCCUUCCACUAUGCUCGUAACUGGAACUGCAGAUAAACAAAGAUCUCACUGUGUAUUUCUCCAACUGGCAACUAACUGCAAGCUCAGUCACCAAGUCAAAGCCUGCAGAGCAGACCUGAGGUCCAAACGUCACGAGUGGGUCAAGGGAGGGGCCGGUUAACCAGGCCUAAAGGGAAGAAGGUCAGCUCGUGGGGCAAGGGAGGGGCCGGUGAACCAGGCCUAAAGGGAAGAAGGCGUGAAAGACGACGAACAAAUCCCUGUGAGCUGCACGGGUGUCUUGGUCACAGGGGCAGUUAGUGUGGUAACGUACGGAGGCGGCUGGGCUCCGGGCUUGCUCCAGCCGCUCAGCCUCCACCCUGCCCACACCCACCAAAGAAGUGGCUUUGCUGAGAGUGGAGGACGAGCUUCGACACGGAAAGCAGGUGUCCAGGUGAGCAAGCGCUCCCUCGGGGAGACGGGAAUUGUGCUUGGGGACUCUAGACUUAGGAAGUUAAGGAAAAGGGAGAGAUUUCCCAGUGAGGAAUAAAGGUUCAUGGCCCAGGCUGUGUUCACCCCAUGGCACCCCUCAGGAACCAGGGCGGUUUGAGUGUCCCCUGUUGGCUCAGUUUGUGCCGUGGCUGCAGAGAUGAACUAUGGAGUAUGAAGAACACCAGCCCUGCGUUUUAAUUGGGAC